rnacentral:lncRNA from 1 species
AGAGUGAAUAAAUGAAGACUUGGCACACCACUUCUGAAAGGUUGCCAACCCCUGGGCUGGAGGAACCUGGAGAGUACAUUUCUAUUCUAAUCUAAUCUACAUUUCUAUUUGUUUGGGUUCUGUAGGUUAAAUUAAUGCAGACUCUGCUCCACUCUCUCCCAAGGGAGUAAUGUUGCUGUGCACAAUGAGAAAUCUUGGGAAAGACUGAAAUGAAAUGGAAGCAGUAUAUGAUGGCAGAACCUAAGGAAUUAAAAGUCCAUUGGUUCUUGUGUGUGUACACUGACUCUGAACCCGAAGUGUAAGUUUUCUCGCUUUGUGGCUGCAGCCAGCAAAAUAUUUAACUAUCUGUCAGGGAUGGUCUAGACAGUAUUUGGUCCUGCCACGAGGGCAGGGGACUGGACUCAAUGACCCCUCAAGGUCCCUUCCAGUCCUAGAGUCUAUGAAUCUAUGAAACUCUGGCUUUUCCUACAUGCUGUAGACUGUGAAUUCCUGGGAAUGGGCAGGGGGAGAGGGAGCAAGAGGAGAAAGGCAGAGACAUUGGAAAAGAAUAAUGGGGGGAGAAGAAAGAGACAGAGAACAGAGAGAGACAAUAAAUGAUUGAAGAUGUCCCAACUCCAUCUAGCUCAUCACAGGUGUUCAGAAAGCUGGGGAGCUGUAGGUUUCAAAUAUCAAGGGGAUCUCCACAUACCUGAUCUCUCUCCCCCAGCUCCCAUUUUAGUAUUAAUUUUUAUUACGAAAUGUUUGGCUUACCCCCGAUCUUCUCUUUCCCCACCUAUAUUGCAAUUUGGGUGGUUUUUUUGCUUUCCUUUUGUUCAUAUCAAUAUAAUUUUAACAGCAAAGGAAUCUAUAGGAGCAAAAACUGACUCAAAACUUUAUUUCCCCCUCAUGCAGGAACAUGAUACAAACAUCACACACAGCUGGAAUCAUAACACGGAAGGCCAGGGGAUGGGAGAUGCAGGGUUCCAAUUUUCCAUUGGCUUUUCUGGGCUGGUGCAAAGGUUGACAAUGCAGCAACACAUGACAUAA